ensembl:snRNA U6 U6 spliceosomal RNA
AUGCUUGCUUUGGCAGCACACAGACUAAAACUGCAAUAAUACAGAGAAGAUUAGCAUGGUCCCUGCUCAAGGAUGACAUGCAAAGCUGUGAAGUGAUACACAUUUAA